CAGAGGGUGCAAGCGUUAAUCGGAAUUACUGGGCGUAAAGCGAGCGUAGGUGGUCAUUUAAGUCAGAUGUGAAAUCCCCGGGCUUAACCUGGGAACUGCAUCUGAUACUGGGUGACUAGAGUAGGUGAGAGGGAAGUAGAAUUCCAGGUGUAGCGGUGAAAUGCGUAGAGAUCUGGAGGAAUACCGAUGGCGAAGGCAGCUUCCUGGCAUCAUACUGACACUGAGGUUCGAAAGCGUGGGUAGCAAACAGGAUU
rnacentral:rRNA from 1 species